GGAAGUCUUCGGCAAUGGACGAAAGUCUGACCGAGCAACGCCGCGUGAGUGAAGAAGGUUUUCGGAUCGUAAAACUCUGUUGGUAGAGAAGAACGUUGGUGAGAGUGGAAAGCUCAUCAAGUGACGGUAACUACCCAGAAAGGGACGGCUAACUACGUACCAG
rnacentral:rRNA from 1 species